AUGCAAGUCGAGGGGCAAGCAUAAAAAUGUGAUCAAUACACUUUGAUGGCGACGCGGGCGCACGGGUGAGAUAACACGUGAUGACAACCUACACUUACCACCGGGGCAAUAGCCCGGAGACAAUCCGGUAUUAACUACCCCAUAACACAGGGCUGCCGCAUGGCAAUAUUUGUUAAAGAAUUUCGGUAGAAGAUGGGCAUGCGUUCCAUUAGGUAGUUGGUGAGGUAACGGCUCCACCAAUCCAACGAUGGAUAGGGGAACUGAGAGGUUUAUCCCCCACACUGGAACUGAGACACGGACCAGACUCCUACGGGAGGCAGCAGUGAGGAAUAUUGGUCAAUGGGCGAAAGCCUGAACCAGCCAAAUCGCGUGAAGGAAGACAGCCCUACGGGUUUUAAACUUCUUUUGUAAGGGAAUAAAAAAAGUUAUGCGUAACUUAUUGCAUGUACCUUACGAAUAAGCAUCGGCUAACUCCGUGCCAGCAGCCGCGGUAAUACGGAGGAUGCUGAGCGUUAUCCGGAUUUAUUGGGUUUAAAGGGUGCGUAGGCGGAGACCUAAGUCA
rnacentral:rRNA from 1 species